rnacentral:rRNA from 1 species
UACGUAGGGGGCAAGCGUUGUCCGGAUUUAUUGGGCGUAAAGAGUGUGUAGGCGGCUUUACAGGUCCGUUGUGAAAACUCGAGGCUCAACCUCGAGACGCCGGUGGAAACCGUAAAGCUAGAGUCCGGAAGAGGAGAGUGGAAUUCCUGGUGUAGCGGUGAAAUGCGCAGAUAUCAGGAAGACCCCACGUGGCGAAGGCGGUUCUCUGGGAGAGUACUGACGCUGAGACGCGAAAGCCAGGGGAGCAAGAGGG